GGAAAGAAAAAAAAAGGAAAGUCGGGUCUGGCCAAAGUCCAAAUUGAACCUGUAUAUAUGCAUGACCCUUUCGAAAAGAAUAACUCCCAUUCGCCUAGCCAAUUCCUCCGCUUCCAUCUUCGCUCGGUUACCAAGAUGGAACCUGUUCGCGAUCGAAUGAUUGACCGAGAGCAAAAAAAGAUACGGAGACCUCUGACAUUGGAAGAUGGGAAGAGGAUGAUGCUGAAAACACUUGGUGAGUUGGACCCAGAAGACGAAGCAGAUCCCAAGAGUCAUCCCUUGGAAGAUGAUUACAAAUACCAAAAGGAAGAAAGUAAAGGAAACGAAAACGAAAGGAUGUCGGGCAGCCCCUUUUCCGAAGAAAACUUCACCAUAUUCUGCUUGAGCUUAAUAGUGUAUUCUGCAGAAUAUGGUGAGUGGACGUACUCAUAUUGGGUUGCGGGUAGAUGAUGCGAGGUUUCUGAUCUCAAGAGGGUGACUUCAGGGCCUCUAUUAUUACAACGUUAACAGGCAAAUGGAUCUCUAGUUUUUUUCACAGGUCUUGGAUUCAACUCUUAAAAGUGACAAGUCUGUAAGUUUUUUCUCUGAAUCACUGUAACGGCUUAUGACCUAUAUUUCGUAAUCUAGAGUACGUACAGGACUUUACUAUUAUACGGUGAGAUGUUUCCUGAUGUCGAAUACUGACUAAUUGUUCAAAAAAGAACAUUUUAUCUUUUAAAUAUGUGAGCAAAACGAAGAUAUGACAGCCGGUAUAUAAAAAAUUAUAACACCAAACUUUUAAAAGAGUUGAUGAAAACUCAUUUGGUUAAAAGAUUAGAUCGCACUAUGUGUAUCCAAG